rnacentral:rRNA from 1 species
UGAAGCAAAAUAGUGAUAUCAAGCAAAUCUCAAAAAAUCGUUCUCAGUUCGGAUUGUAGUCUGCAACUCGACUACAUGAAGUCGGAAUCGCUAGUAAUCGUAGAUCAGCUACGCUACGGUGAAUACGUUCUCGGGUCUUGUACACACCGCCCGUCACACCAUGGAGCUGU